AAAACAUUUCUACAAUCUCAUGUGAUUUAUCGGAGUUACGCAAAGAUUGGUUAACUGUGUUGAUGAUUGUCACUUCUGCUCGUUCAUCAAUCAACAUUAGACAUUUAGAGAAAGCGACUGUAUCCACUGGCAAAGAGGGGUUGCUGUCAGAAG